UACGUAGGUGGCAAGCGUUGUCCGGAAUUAUUGGGCGUAAAGCGUGCGCAGGCGGUUUUGUAAGUCUGUCGUGAAAGCCCCGGGCUCAACCUGGGAAUUGCGAUGGAGACUGCAAGGCUUGAAUCUGGCAGAGGGGGGUAGAAUUCCACGUGUAGCAGUGAAAUGCGUAGAGAUGUGGAGGAACACCGAUGGCGAAGGCAGCCCCCUGGGUCAAGAUUGACGCUCAUGCACGAAAGCGUGGGGAGCAAACAGG
rnacentral:rRNA from 1 species